rnacentral:rRNA from 1 species
UACGAAGGGAGCUAGCGUUGUUCGGAAUUACUGGGCGUAAAGGGCGCGUAGGCGGUUUGACAAGUUGGGUGUGAAAGCCCAGGGCUCAACCCUGGAACUGCACUCAAAACUGUUUUACUUGAAUUCGGUAGAGGUUGGUGGAAUUCCCAGUGUAGAGGUGAAAUUCGUAGAUAUUGGGAAGAAUAUCCGUGGCGAAGGCGGCCAACUGGACCGACAUUGACGCUGAGGCGCGAAAGCGUGGGGAGCAAACAGGAUUAGAUACCCUGGUAGUCCACGCCGUAAACGAUGCAUGCUAGACGUUGGAAACCUCAGGUUUCUUGUGUCGCAGCUAACGCACUAAGCAUGCCGCCUGGGGAGUACGGCCGCAAGGUUGAA